rnacentral:lncRNA from 1 species
AUAUCUUACAUUAUGAAACGGAGGUAGUAGCUGUUAGAUGGCAAUAGGCCCUGCAUUCUACCUUCUUUUGCAUUCUCAGACAAUAAACUAUGAGUAUUAAGUGUGAUGGUAUUUGGUAGAUGGUAAUAGGCUUGUGUUAGCCUACUUUUGUAUCUAAACCAAUCACUUUGUUGGAUCUAAUGGCUGAUGGUAAAAUUUAUAUUUGGUGGUAUAUGCUUGCUCCCCU